rnacentral:lncRNA from 1 species
UGAAGACUAGCCCUCAGCACCAGGGCCAGAAACCAGCUGUCCUGACCCUCCAGAUUGCCACUGCCCCUGGGGAAGCACUGUGAGGUGUCAGAGGGUAGGGCAGGGCGGCUUCAGAGGCAUGGGGAGGUUGGCGAGGUGAUGAGGAAGAUCUCGUGCCCUCUUCCCACCACUGUCCAGAGGGCCCCGAGGCCUGGAAUGGGCCACAUAUGGACAAGGUGAUGCAGGGGGUCAGCAAUGGGCAUGACCAGGAACCCAGGCUCGGGCCAUCCAGCUGGAUCAUCCAGUCUACGGCACAGACAGAGGGGCAGAGCGAGCACACCCCGAAGAGGAAGCGGAGCCACCUCAGAGACUGUUGUUACAGACAGGUUCGACCCACGUCUCAUUAUUUAGCAGUCAUUUGGCCCACCUUGCAUAGGCCCGCGGGCUUCAUUCAAACCAGCAUUCUGUAUUCUCACUCACAUUCCAUGUCUACGCCCAACACUUGACACACUCGUGGGCCAUCAGCUGGGAGGCCUCUGACCCUGGUCUUCUGUCCUGGGACUGGUCUCCGCAAAGCUGGAGGUCCAAGUGGGUGAAGGAUGGGACAAUAUGAAACGAAAGGAAUCUCCUCAGGGUCCCAAGAAAUUAUGGUGUCCAACUGACCCACUUUGCAGGAAAAGAAACUGAGACCCAGCUUGUUCAAGGACACACCAAAGGGUCUGGAAAUACAGUCCUGAAAUGCAGGAGGCUGGGCCCAGGACCCGGGACCUCAGAGACUCUCUACAGCAGGAGAGGGCCCAGGGGAAGGCGCUGCCACAUCCAGUGUGUUUCAUGCUCUGGGCAGAGAGCCCCGCACCCGGACUUAGAGACCUAGAGAGAGGCAGAAGGUGUGUGAGACACUCGGAGGAAGGAGAGCGCCAAGAGGGAGAGAGCCGGGGCCACCGGGACACCGCCCCGGAGCCUGGGCCGGGAGGUAGAGGAUGGGGGGCGCGGGGCAGGGCGCGGACCCGGUGGCCGGCAAGCAGGCCGGCAGGAGGCAGGUGGCGGGUGGCGGGGCAGACAAUGGCGCCGAGGGGUGCGGGACCUGGGACUAAAUCUGGCGUCGCCUUUGCAGGGCGCGGGGCCGCCCGCUCAUCGCGCUGCAGAGGAGAGACGAAAUGAAUAUGCAGCGCGGGCUGUAAUUGGGCCGCCGCGGCCGCCGCCGCCGCCGCCGCACUAUAAUUUUCCAAACAGGAUCUUGCAAUCAGGGCCUUAUUCAUUAGCGCAUAAACAAUUUUGUUUCUCGG